AGGCCCCGCCGGCCCUAGCCUUUGGGAAGCGUGCCUAAUAGACCGGGGCAGCUACGAGCCAGUCAGUGGCUGCGUUCCUCAAAGCCUUCCUCCAGAAGAAUCCUGUCAUGCUGGCGAGCACCUGAAACCUCGGCCUCUGAAGGUGGAAGCAGAAGGAUCAGGAGUUCAAGACCAGACGGAAUUUUCAUGACAAUGAGAAACUCUGCUCCUGGCAGCACCAAUCUACUUCAAGAGGAAGAUGGGCAUUGAAGAGGAUCCUUAUGGAGUUUGAUAGCCAUUUGGGCAAGAAACUGUUCUUGCCUGGACUAUUGCAUAAACUGGACACAGAGAACCCGCAGAGAGAGGACUACUGAACUUGCCUAAAGAAAAGUCUGCUGGAAACUAUGGGACUGUAGGCCGAAGAUGGAUGCCCCAAUGGUGCAGAGGAACUUUGGGUGACUGUCCAGGCAGCAAGAUGUCGCUGUGAUUUCUAGAGUUUUGUCUGAGAUUAGAGUUAUGAGCCAUCACACAUGGCUGCUACUUUUGUUUGGUGCGGCACACCUCUUCCGCCAGCAGAAGAGACGACUACAAUAGGAUUCUUCUCAGAACACACUUUAUUGGAACACUUACACUUGAGAAUUUGAGAGAGGCAAGAAGACCCCGACCCCGUGGAAGCAGAAGAAUAUAUACGGUGCCAGACAAAGCCCUGACAUGUCAUCAACCCAAUGGCUCAGGCCAGAAUGGAGUGAUCAUGCUAAAUUGUGAUUGGCCAGAUGGGAUGGGCAGAUCGAAAGACUCCCUGCGCUAGGGGGAGCACGCGCACAAGUUGUUUACCAAGUUUUACAUGGAACAGCAAAUGGCGCCCAGGCUCCGUGCCGACACACCCACGACAUGACAGUGCCAUGGCGCGCAAUACAUCUCCGCACGCUACAUCUCCCCCUUUUGUGUUUUUUUUUUUUUUUUUUG